UCCACUGGAGGACUAGUGGUUAGGCCUCGGCGCUCUCACUGCCAUGGCCCGGGUUCGAUUCCUGGCUAGGGAG
rnacentral:tRNA from 1 species